rnacentral:rRNA from 1 species
UACGUAGGACGCAAGCGUUGUCCGGAAUUAUUGGGCGUAAAGAGCUCGUAGGCGGCCAGUUGCGUCUGCUGUGAAAUCCCGGGGCUCAACCCCGGGCGUGCAGUGGAUACGGGCUGGCUAGAGGCAGGCAGGGGAGAACGGAAUUCCCGGUGUAGCGGUGAAAUGCGCAGAUAUCGGGAGGAACACCGGUGGCGAAGGCGGUUCUCUGGGCCUGUACUGACGCUGAGGAGCGAAAGCGUGGGGAGCGAACAGG